ACUAUUUUGGCAGAAAAAUGUAAUGAUUUUAGAAUUCAUAAAUAUAUAAUUUAUUAUAUAAAUAGUA
rnacentral:tRNA from 1 species